GUAUGGGCGCCAAAACACAUAAGAUCUCCAUACCCCGUCCGGUAUGGGAGACCACAAUCCCAGUAGGGUUCCCUACGGACCCGGUCCGUCCACCAUCUCCCAGGAUAUCUAGUCAGGCUGAACACAUCAUACAAUUUCCAUUCACAUAACCUUUCAUUCUCCUUUUUCCCUCAGUCAGCAUUAUCAAUCACAUACAAACACGCAAAACGAUAAUUUAUGCCAAACAGACAACAUACAACAUCAAUAUCCCGGUCAUUCAAUCCAUAAUCAAUAAAACAGUAAAAUAUGCACACGAAACUAUAAAAUGAAAACAUUGAACCUCAUGCUGCAUUUAAAACUGUAAAACAGGCCAAAUAACAGUUAACCGACAAACACACUAGACUCGGGCUCCAUUAGCGACCUUAAGCAAUUUCACACAUUCGUUGAUUCACGAAAUACCGUUUUAUCAUUUAUUGGACUUUAAAACCGUGAUAGGAAAUAGGGUGAGGGGUCUUUACUCGUUUCGGGGUCCG
rnacentral:lncRNA from 1 species